AAGGUUUUAGCUUAAGUAAAGUGUCUGAGUUGCAAUUAGAUGAUGUAGAUGAUAGUUUUACAAAUCUU
rnacentral:tRNA from 1 species